rnacentral:lncRNA from 1 species
GGCAUGACCCUGGCCACACAGAGGUGCGCUCCUGUUAUGUACACGUGUGUGCCCAAGUCGCUUUGGAAAUUAAUAUCCUUUGACAGGAAAUAAGAAGAACUCAAAUCAACUUGGUUGAAUUCCACUGUCAUUUUCAUUAAUAUUUCAAUAAUCAAAUAAUUCAGAGCUGUGGACUUCAGGGGUCAAAGGAGGACAUGACUCAUUCUGUCAAUGAGGAAAGAGUACAAUGACCUGCCAUUUGGACCAGGCUUUGGAA